rnacentral:misc_RNA from 1 species
UCGCCGCCCAAGUCUCCGCACUUGGUGUUGGGAGCUGCCCGAGCCUCGUCUCGGGCACUCCUCAAAUGCAGUGGCGGUCCCCAUCGCGGCUUUCUCCUUAGCGCAGUAAAGUGUUCCAAACGCACUACGCUUCGGGACGCGUGGGUGGCCUGCCGUAAAACAAAGCAGACCUCUUCUACCCGAAAGUCGCACCUCCUCACAG